UACCUAAGGCCAGUGAAGUGCGGCUACAAUCCAGUUGUUCCAUAAUGGAAUAUUUUGGAAUGGAUACAUAUUUUAGAGUGUUCCAAAGACCGUUUCCCCACCAGACAUUGUUUAAAAUAAAAACGAUCGAUUUUAUUAUCCCGUGUCGGGAUUUCGUACAUCUACUUCAUGAAAUAAGUAUGGUGUUCACUCUUCCACGUGUAACUAUGCAAAACCAUCUUGAGUUAUAGACCGGUAUAAUGAAAACCAAGAUAAAUUUAAAUUUCUCGAGGAGAUGAUAUUGACAGAGCAGACAGACGACAACUCGCCCUUAAUUACUGCAUUAUUACAGUUAAGAAGGUGGUGAGUUUUUAGCGGUGGUUUUAUUAAACUUCUCUUAGGCAUUUGCAGUUUUUCUUAGAGUACUUUGAAGGUAUUUGUAAUGACGAACUACUCCAAGAGGAUACCAGUAUCAUUGCUAAGUUUGCAUAUUCAAAUACUCUGGAACCAACCCAUGGGUGGUUUCUAAAGCUAUGCUACAAUCUCAUGAUUUGCUUAUUUCCAAAACGGACACAAUUUAUUAACAAGUUGGGCUUUUCCAAAGAAAAUAUGCAGGAAUUUGUAUUGGAAGAUAUGCAUGAGUUUACGUUUAACUUGAGAUGUUGUGCUAACUAUUUGCAGCAUAUUUAUUUAGUUAACGGAUUAGAGGUUCUUCCUCGAAAAAAGAAGAUGAAGAUUAGUUAACAUUUCAAUUUAGUUUCCUUUUGUUUGGAACAUGGUCAGGGAUAGAAGUCUUUUCAUCUUUUGAUUCCGCAUCUUCUACGUAGAUGCGGUUUAGUCCGUAGAAUAAAACAAAUACUUCACCUCACGAUACACUCAAAAUAAAACCCCCACACCUUUAUUUGUAUUUCAUUUAACUCAAUUAUGCGCAUAACAAAUACAGAAAUAAACACU